rnacentral:rRNA from 1 species
GAUGAACGCUGGCGGCGUGCCUAAUACAUGCAAGUCGAGCGAACGGACGAGAAGCUUGCUUCUCUGAUGUUAGCGGCGGACGGGUGAGUAACACGUGGAUAACCUACCUAUAAGACUGGGAUAACUUCGGGAAACCGGAGCUAAUACCGGAUGAUAUUUUGAACCGCAUGGUUCAAAAUUGAAAGACGGUCUUGCUGUCACUUAUAGAUGGAUCCGCGCUGCAUUAGCUAGUUGGUAAGGUAACGGCUGACCAAGGCAACGAUGCAUAGCCGACCUGAGAGGGUGAUCGGCCACACGGGAACUGGGACAGGGUCAAGACUCCUACGGGAGGAAGCAGAAGGGAAUCUUCCGCAAUGGGCGAAGGCCUGACGGAGCAACGCGGCGUGAGUGAUGAAGGUUUCCGGAUCGUAAAACUCUGUUAUAAGGGAAGAACAUAUGUGUAAGGAACUGUGCACAUCGUGACGGUACCUAAUCAGAAAGCCACGGCUAACUACGUG